rnacentral:lncRNA from 1 species
AGAACAAAAACGUGAAGGGUGGAGCGAAAGAAAGAAAGAGGGAGAACACCCCCACCAAGAAGGGAAGAACCAGCCAUGAAGCCCCCCACCACCGCUCUCCUCCUCCUCGCCGCCCUCCUCACCACCGGCGCCGUCCUCUCCACCGACUCGCGCGACCUCGACGACGAGCGCACCUCCUCCUCCAAGCACCGCGGCAGCCACCCGGGCCGCGGCGUCCCCGGCUUCGGCCCCGACCCCGGUGGCUUCUUCGGCCCCGGGGGCGGCGGUUUCGGC